rnacentral:rRNA from 1 species
UACGGAGGGUGCAAGCGUUGUUCGGAUUUACUGGGCGUAAAGCGCGCGCAGGUGGGGUGAACAAGUCGGAAAGUGAAAUCUUGAGGCUCAACCUCGAGGCUGCUCCCGAAACUGUUCGCCUAGGGACUGGUAGAGGCUGGCAGAAUUCCCGGUGUAGCGGUGGAAUGCGUAGAGAUCGGGGAAGAAUACCCGUGGCGAAGGCGGCCAGCUGG